UGGUCUAUGCUGUCACGGGAAGACCCUAUUUGUAUCAGUGCGGUCUAAUGUUCAAAAAUCUCUAGGCUACACGCUUUAUAUAAUUAUAUGAGAUCAUUGUUUGAACGGAUGUUUAGAUCGAUUUUUUUUAUACUCCCUCCGUUUCGUAAUACUUGAUGUUUUGUAAUAGUACACAAAGAUUAAAAAAAUUACAUUUUUCUAAAAAAAAAUUUUAAAGAUAUAAUUUUAAAAUCAGUUAACUAAUUAUAAAAAAGAUCGUAAAAUCUAAUUACUUGAACAGUUUCCAAAUAAAGUUAAAGUUAACCUUAAAAUCUCAAAACUUCCUUAAAAUCUCAAAACUUCAUGUAAAUUAAAACAAAACAAACUUUCUAAAACAUCAUUUAUAUUGAAACGGAGAGAGUAGCAUUUUGUCUAGUCUAUGUCUCACGAGAAGACCACAUGAUAAAUAUGAUUAUAAAACAAAAGAUGUUUAUUUGUGGUCGUCGGUGUCCAUUGGCCAUGUG
rnacentral:lncRNA from 1 species